rnacentral:rRNA from 1 species
UACGCAGGGGGCUAGCGUUGCUCGGAAUUACUGGGCGUAAAGCGCACGUAGGCGGGUCAUUAAGUCGGGGGUGAAAUCCUGGAGCUCAACUCCAGAACUGCCUCCGAAACUGAUGAUCUUGAGUUCGGGAGAGGUGAGUGGAACUGCGAGUGUAGAGGUGAAAUUCGUAGAUAUUCGCAAGAACACCAGUGGCGAAGGCGGCUCACUGGCCCGAUACUGACGCUGAGGUGCGAAAGCGUGGGGAGCAAACAGG